CCUACGGGAGGCAGCAGUGAGGAAUAUUGGUCAAUGGACGAGAGUCUGAACCAGCCAAGUAGCGUGAAGGAUGACUGCCCUAUGGGUUGUAAACUUCUUUUAUAUGGGAAUAAAAUGUUCCACGUGUGGGAUUUUGUAUGUACCAUAUGAAUAAGGAUCGGCUAACUCCGUGCCAGCAGCCGCGGUAAUACGGAGGAUCCGAGCGUUAUCCGGAUUUAUUGGGUUUAAAGGGAGCGUAGGUGGAUUGUCAAGUCAGUUGUGAAAGUUUGCGGCUCAACCGUGAAAUUGCAGUUGAAACUGGCAGUCUUGAGUGCAGUAGAGGUGGGCGGAAUUCGUGGUGUAGCGGUGAAAUGCUUAGAUAUCACGAAGAACUCCGAUUGCGAAGGCAGUUCACUGGACUGCAACUGACGCUGAGGCUCGAAAGUGUGGGUAUCAAACAGGAUUAGAUACCCCUGUAGUC
rnacentral:rRNA from 1 species